CUCACUUUGUCCUUCAAAUUUGCGGAUGAUGGUGUCCAGGGAGUGAUUUCGCUGAGCCUCCUAAUUUCGGCAGCAAGCAUGAUGCAGGAGCCAGAAGGCAGCAAAAUCUCUCCAGAUGUUAUCGCAGCGGGGAAGGGAAAUCAUCCUGGGUUUAAAGGUAUCUUGUAAAACAUUGCUGCCGGCUUGGCAGAGCCCUGGGGCCACCAGCCGGCCCUCACUGCCCUCAAAAGCAUCACCCAGACCCCCCACCCAGCCCAGCUGAGCUCAAGGUGGGACCUUCAGCCUCCCCUCGGGCUGGACUUGGUGUCCAGCCCCAUCUCCUGGGCGGACUUUGGACCCGUGUUGGAGGUAACCCGGUGUCCAACCCCAUCCCAUCUGCCGCGUGGACCUUGGACCCGUGCUGAGGGUUGGCCGGUGGCCAAUCCCACCUGCAGCACGGACCUUGGACCUGUGCUGAGGGCAACCCGCUGUCUGCCCCUGUCUUCUGCGAGGAGGGUGGGCCUGGGUUGUCUGCCUGCCUGGGAGCAGGGGGUCACAGCUCAGGGCACCCAUCACUCAUCCCUGCAGCUGCACCCUGUCCACUGCAGGACAGACCCGGCUCCUCUGUGGAUUCUCUGGUGUGUAACGAGGGCUGAGCCUGCUCUGCAGUCCCUGAGUGACAAUGUUCCGUGUGGCUCUUUUCUAUUUUUUUUCUUUUUUUUCCCCAAUCCUCUCCUCCAGAAAGCAAUUUUCAUGAAACUUGCAGGAUCUUGAUGAUCUCGGAGACCUCUUUUCCUCCACUAACGGGGCAGAAAGGAGCCGGGGAGCUCCAAAAUUACCGGCGAAGGAGCUGAGCUGGAUGGAGCACACCUGCACCAGCCUGCUUUCCCAGGCUCAAAAUACACUUGGCUCCAAACCCAGCCCUCACCGUGCCAGGUCAGAGUUGGCUGGUGGGUGAGCAGGCUGGGCCAGCUCCUGCCCUGGGCACAGGGGCAGCUCGUGACGGCUCCGUGCCUGCCGGCGCCGGAAUUUCUCUUUCCCCCGAUGCAGACAUCGACAAAUAA